rnacentral:lncRNA from 1 species
CCUGGGUCACCUGGCUGGUGCCUCUUCUCUUGACGGGAGUGCUGCCGGGGGCAUUGCGCCGCAGCUCCUCCUUCAUGCUAUGGUACACGGCCACGAUGUAGGCUGACACAAUCAUCAGGAAGUAGUUCUGGCAGGAGGCAGCCUGCGGCAGGAACUGCACGAUGUUCCAGCUGUUCUCCAGCAGCUCCUCCACAUUGGACUCCCCUUCUUCCUCAUCAUCUUCACCUGCCUCCUC